UAAAGUUGUGAUUCUUUGAACAGGUGGAUAGUCUAAUAUUUAGGGGAGGCGCUGCAAAAAUUUUGGUAGAAUCUAGUCUAGUUAUAAUGCUUGGGCUCGGACUCGUCUACUGCUCCUUCUAGUCAGAAUUCGAGUUAGAGUUUCUUCUUUCCUCGACCACCGAAGUAGAAGCCCGUCGACCGACUAAAUCUCUGCAAUCUUCUCUGCAAGGGUAUAAAAGUAAAUUCCUAAUUUCUGCAAUUAGUUAAUUUGUGUAUUGUUAUAUGUAUAACUCCAUUACUUCUAACUAUUGUUGAACUCCACAGUUGUAGGAAUGCGUAUUUUUAAUUUGGUCUUUAAACUGGUGUGCUAACCUACGAAUGAGAUGUAUUAUUAUUAGGCUCGAGCUAAGCUUUACUCGAGAUAUUUGAGAUUGGGCCAGG